UUUCAGAAAAAUCAAAAAUUUUCUCUCAAAAUCUCUUCUCUUCUCUUCUCGCGACGGCGCCGACUCUUCUCGGACGAAAUCGCAGCAGUGAGCAAGGGUUUCUCCGACGCCGACGAGGGCUUUUCCGGCUAGUCUUCACCCGUGCAAGGUCAUCCCGACGGAGAAGAACUUGCGGGCACAUGAGGAAGCCGAAGAUUUUGCAAGACCCGAGCCCUCCGAAAACCCUAAGGCCUAGACCUUCCUCUCCUUCGGUUGUAAGUCCAAGAACCCUCGAUAAAGGAAAAACUAAGAUAUGAAGGGAGACGACAGGAUGGUGGUGGUGAUGAAGGUGUGUGAUGUUUGGACUGUGGAGAGAUCCAGGAUUAGCUGACAAACCUGUUAAGACCUUCUAUUUAAUUCUUUUAGAUUGCCUUAAGUGUUAUUUUGAGUUGAGAUUGUAUUUAAGUUAUUCUGCACUUGUAUGUAGUUCACUUGUAUUAUUCGUGGAGUGAUGUAGUUGGUUGCUUACUAGAGUAGUUUCUUUCUUUUA